rnacentral:lncRNA from 1 species
CCCCCCUCCCUCUCUUCCGAUGAACUUCUCUCCGGCGUGGAACGAGCUAACAAACUCGUGCUGCAGGUGCUGGAGCUGGCCGGGAACGCCGCCAAGGACAACAAGAAGACGAGGAUCGUGCCCAGGCACCUGCUGCUGGCCAUCCGCAACGACCAGGAGCUCGGGAGGCUGCUGAGCGGCGUCACCAUCGCCCACGGCGGCGUGAUCCCCAACAUCAACCCGGUGCUGCUCCCCAAGAAGGCCGCCGAGAAGGCUGAGAAGGCCGGCACCGCCGCCAAGUCGCCCAAGAAGGCCACCAAGUCCCCCAAGAAGGCCACCAAGGCCUAGAUCCUAGUAGUGUCUGCGGUGUACUGAUGGUUCCAGUUUGGUUAGAUGUAGUCGCUGUUUCACUCUGUGUCCUGCGCCCCUGAUGUAAUCGCCAACAAAGGGGAAGCCGCUUGCUUCCCCUUGACUUAUGAAUUAGUAUCAAGUAUGCGUUUCUGAACUGAAUUCGUCUCUGUUGAUUUAUUCAGAUUUGGAACUGAACUAAAUUUGUUUCAUGGAUUGUUUGGGAUCCAAUGAGACCCUCCAUUCAUAAUCUGGCACGAUGAGCACAAAUUCCUCUAAUUUUUUUACAGACCAUAGUUGACAUGUAACUGACGGACGGAACUGAAGUUGUGCAAUCUUCAGAUUUCGCUUCCCUUGUGCAAUUCCUAGAGCCGGAACGUUUAUCAAGGCUCUGAACUCUGAAGCUACGCUCGUCUGUCAUCUGAACAAUUCUGCUGAGCACAUUUUAGUUGGGCGGCAGACAUUUUUUGCCCCAUUCUGCUGCGCAGAUUUCUGAAGCUAAAAAAAAUUCUCCAACAUAUGAUGUAGAGUGGAUAUGAGAAUGGAUAUUUAUUAAAAUAAAUACGAUUUAUUGACGGCCAGUCACUCAUUCUUAGAGCUUUGGAGAUCUAGAUGUAAACUUAACGAGUUUUUACAUCUUCGAGGCCUAAAAAUGCACCUCCAACAUAUGAUGUAGAUGUAAAAAAAGUUUACAUCACCUACUCCAAGUGAUGUAAAAUACAACACUUAGACAUGCAAAUUUGCAUCGCCAUCUCCCUCGUGAUGUAAAACUGCAGUCGCGCGCCAACCGCCACUUCCCCUCCUUUUCUCCCCCUGUGCGACCACCUCCACGCCGCCUGCCGCCACGCCACCCUCCAACCGGACCCUGCCGCACCCCACCACCGCCAGAUUCAGCCUCCCGACUCCCCCAGCGCCGGUUCCGCCGACUCAACGUCGCCUUGAUUCGCGUUGUCCUGGCCGUCGAGGUCCAUGAGGUGUUCCGCGAUGACGAGCGCGAGCGCUUCUUGGAGGCACUCAUGGCCAUCCUGCUCUAACUCGACGCCAUCCCAGGCCACGACUCGACCGUGCGGGUGACGCGGCACGCUAUCGGCCGCCGGGUCGUCGGCCUCCAGGAGGUCUUCAACUUUGUGCUCGCGGCGCUAGAGGCCGACACUUACGGGAUCUGGAGUGUUGGAGAAGUGUUGGCUGUGCCGCCGCCGGCGGCGUCCGCAGAGGAGGAGGCGAGGAGGAGUGGCUGGGGCAGAGGAGGAGCGGCGGCAACAGCUAACAGUGUGCAGCAGAGGAGGAGGCAAGGAUGAGCGGCAGCAUCAAGAGCACUCGAUUUCCUUGGCAGCGAGCGGCGCACGCAAGAGUUUGGCCGGCGGCGUGCACGAGCAUUGUCCAUUUGAUCGGUGGUUCAGUUUCCAUAGUAGGUUUAGUUUCAACAGUAUGAACUGUUUACAUCACCAAUUAUACAUCAUCUGUUGUGGUAGUAGUUUUCCAUCACCGAAUAUACAUCAUUUGUUGCAGUUGAAACUUUUUUGAGGAUGUAAAAAGCAUUUUGUGGUGAUGUAAAUUAUAAAAGAACUACUUUUACAUCUCCAAAUAUACUUCUAUUGGAGAUGCUCUUAUGCUUUCAUGAACAUGCAUUGUAUACAUGGGACGGUUCUAGGUUUGGGUAAACCUGGCCAUCCGUCGGGCCGGACCUACCAAAGCCCGACGCAGAAAACCUAGCCCCGAGCCCGGCCCGCCUAGCCGUCAGGCCUAAAAAUCAGGCCCAAGCCCGACCCAUCACGCAAUAAGCCUGUCGAGCCUCGGGCCUCAGGCCUGGACUCUUCCUUAAACUGCAAAUACGUCGGGUCUGAGCCUGACCCGGCCCGACCAUCAGCUCAAAAUCUAGGACCAGGCCCGGCCCGUGGGCAAGGUCAGGUCGGGCCAUCCGAGCCGGGCUGCCCAUGGCCAGGUAUAGGGGCAAACCUAUUUGCUUCUUCCUUUAUUUGCUCACCCUUCUCAUUAGCGACUGUCUAUUGACCUACGUGAAUGACAUAUCUUGUACUUGUGGAUUAUCACAAAAAGUAAUAACAUUGACCAAUAUGCAUUUCACAAAGCAGCCACUCAGGCCCUAAUUAAGGAGGUUUAGCUCUUACAGUUGAUGAAGACAAUAUGUUUUAUGGCUUUCCAUACUCUUAGUUAGAUUUUUCGACAAAUUACUGAAUAGAUUAGAUCAUUGAUGGUGCACAUUGCUGAGCUGCUACUUGUUGUGAUAGGCGUUGGGAUUCCCCGAAGAGGAAGGGUGAUGUAGUAUAGUAGCACAUAUUAUUUCCCUCAGUUAAGAACCAAGAUUUGUCAAACUAGUAGGAGACACCACACAAACAAGAUAAGCGGUACCUACACACACAAAGCAAAUGCUUGCACCUAACGAAGGUUAGAGGGUUGUCAAUCCCCUUGUUCUCGCCAAUUGCAAGGAUUAAAUCUGAUAGUGGUAGAUAAAUAGAACAAAAUAAAAACAAUGAGCAUUUUUUAGGGUUUUAGUAAAUAUGGAAGAUGGACCCGAGGCCAUAGGUUCACUAGAGGCAUCUCUCUCAUGAGCAUAGCAAAGGUUGGGUAGACAAAUUAUUGUUUGGCAAUUGACAGAAUAACACAUAGUUAUUAUGUUUAUUCAUGGCAUGAUCAAUAUAUAGACAUUACGUUCAUGAUAAGUAGACCAUUAAAUUUACUGACGCCUACUACUAUGACUUCACCCCAAGACCCCUAUCCAGCAUGCAUCUCAAAGUAUUAAGUUCAUGACAAGCCAAGUAAUGCUUUAAGCAUGAUGACAUAAUGUAGACAAAGUAAUAUCAAAUAAUAUGUUUGAACCCCGUUGUUUUAUCCUUAGUAGCAACAAUACAAAUACGUGCCAUGCAACUCCUUCUGUCACAGAGUAAGGACACCGCAAGAUUGAACCUACUACCAAGCACCUCUCCCACUGAAGGUAAAUCGAUUUAAUUGGCCGAAGAAGAUAGAAAGAUCGGAGAGAAAUACAAGGCUAUAAAAUCACACAUAAAUAAAUCUUAGAAAAGACUCAAAUACUUUCAAUGAAUACUGAUCAUAAACCCACAAUUAAUCAAAUUCCAACAAACACACUACGAGAAUUACAUCGAAUAGAUCUCCAAAGAAAUCAUUGUACUAUUCCAGAUAAAUAUUGAAUUGGAUUUCAAUCAAAAGCAGAUAAAUAUUGAACUGUACUAUUCCAGAUCAGGAACUACCCAAAUACCAAAGUCUGCAUCUGAUCUGAUUGCUACAAGCAAAAAAUGCAGCUUGCUAGUCCAGUCUUGACCGCAGCCUUGCUCCUCCAACACUAGUAGAAAACAGGGCUUUGGUCCAGGCCGGGUCAGCCCAUUAGUCCCGGUUCAGUCUAGAACCGGGACCAAUGUGGGCAUUGAUCCCAGUUCGUGAGCCCAGGGGGCCGGCCGGGCCAUGUGGGCCAUUGGUCCCGGUUCAUCUGGACCUUUUGGUCCCGGUUGGUGGGAUGAAUCGGGACCAAUGGGCCUCGCUCCUGGCCCACCACCAUUGGUCCCAGUUGGUGGCUUGAACCGGGACCAAAGGCUCCCCUUUAGUCCCGGCUCAUGUCACCAACCGGGACCAAUGAGGUGCCUAUAUAUACCCCCUCGCGCAAGAGCAGAGCACAGUGCUCUGUUUUUUCUGGCCGAGGGGGAGAGGGCUUUGUGGUGCUCUAGCUCACCUCCUAUGCACAUGAGGUGUUCGAUGGAAUGCCCGAGCCACACUACUUGAGCUUUCUCCUCUCGAAACUCGACCUCCAAGCUCCAUUUUCCUCGAGAUUUGUCUAGAUUUAGCGGUCCGUCACGCCCCGUGCCCGUCUUCACCGCCGUCGAUCACCCGCGCCGAUCUCAUCACCAACACCACCGUGGUGAGCCUCUUGUUCUUAUCUUCUUUCUGAAAGGAAAAAUAUUCUUACUUGUAUGUUUAGAUAGAUACUUGUAUCAUUUUUCUUACAUUUAUUAUUGCAUCUUAUAUAGUGCGAUGGUUUUGGUAUCCGUCCCCGUCGGCCCUCGUCCUGUCUAUGAUUCGGAUGUGGUAUGUAUAUUAUCUUUAUAACUAUUGGUUCAUUUAUUGUUUAUGAAAAUUAUGCCGACCAACGUGACAUAGAUUUUAUUUAUCUAGGAUGUAUGUGAAUCGGAAAUGCCAACCGACCCUAUUGUCGAGAGGUUAAAUUUAGUUGAAGAAGAAAACAAUUUGUUGAAGGAAAAAAUAAAAAAAAUUGAGGAGGAGAAGAUGAUAUUGGAGUUGCAUGUUGCGGAUGUCGUCGAUGAUCACAAGAUCAAGAUGGAUGCAAUGCGCUUGAAGAUUAGAAAGAUUAGAAAUAUGCCAUUCAUACCGAGGCUUGGUAUCAUUAUGCCGUUGGAUCAAUUAUUACCUUGGUUGCGAUUAUGAUCGCAUUUGUUUUCGCAUUGAAAUGUUUUAAAUAGUUUCAAUGUAUGGUUUAAUUAAUUAGAUGCACUGGAGAGCUAUAUGUUGUUAGAUGAGAACUAUGUAUGCACUUUGGUUUUAAUGUGAUGAUGAACUUCUAUUAAUUUGGACACUUAAUUAUAUAUAAUGCACGCAGAUGAACCGGCAAUGGAUGUACAGUGACAGACACACCCGCAAGUACAUUAAGGGCGUGCAUGAGUUUCUCGAUGCGACUGAGGCAAACAAGCAGAAUGGUUUUAUGUGUUGUCCAUGCACUGAAUGUGGGAAUACGAGGUCUUACUCUAACCGGAAAAUCCUUCACUCCCACCUGCUUUAUAAGGGUUUCAUGCCACACUAUAAUGUUUGGAUGAGGCACGGAGAAAUAGGGGUUAUGAUGGAAGACGGCGAAGAAGAAGACUACGAUGACAACUAUAUGCCCCCUGAAUACGGCGAUGCUGCAACGGGGGGAGCUGGUGAAGAUCAAGAGGAACCAGACGAUGUGCCCAAUGAUGCUGCAACGGGUGAAGCUGCUGAAGAUCAAGAGGAACCAGACGAUGUGCCCGAUGAUGAUGAUCUCUGCCAGGUCAUUGUCGAUGCAAGGACGCAAUGCAUUAGUCAAAAGGAGAAGCUGAAGUUCGAUUGCAUGUUAGAGGAUCACAAAAAAGGGUUAUACCCCAAUUGCGAAGAUGGCAACACAAAGCUCGGUACCGUACUGGAAUUGCUGCAGUGGAAGGCAAAGAAUGCUGUGGCUGACAAAGGAUUUGAGAAGCUACUGGAAAUAUUGAAGAAGAAGCUUCCAAAGGAUAACGAAUUGCCCGACAGUACAUACGCAGCAAAGAAGGUCGUAUGCCCUCUAGGAUUGGAGGUGGAGAAGAUACAUGCAUGCCCUAAUGACUGCAUCCUUUACAGCGGUGCAUACAAGGAUCUGAACGCAUGCCCGGUAUGCGGUGCAUUGCGGUAUAAGAUCAGACGAGAUGACCCUGGUGAUGUUGACGGCGAGCCCCCCAGGAAGAGGGUUCCUGCGAAGGUGAUGUGGUAUGCUCCUAUAAUACCACGGUUGAAACGUCUGUUCAAAAACGAAGAGCAUGCCAAGUUGAUGUGAUGGCACAGUGAGAACCGAAAGAAAGAUGGGAAGUUGAAAGCACCCACUACUUCUGUCAUUAAGUCUCUCUAUAUAGCUCAUCUCUUUCAUUGCAUGUAUUUAUAAUUAUCCUCACUAUAUUAUGCAGAAUGAAGAUCGCCGAAUUAAAGAAAAGACAAAUCGGUGAUAUUGGGUUCGUUAACACAUAUCUCAUAGAUGCAACUAAGGUUCAACAUCGUCCCGGAGAUACCGAGGCCAACUUGCUACGAUCAUUCAAAAAAAUGAAAACAAAGAUAUAAUACUCUUUCCUUACAACUUCAAGUGAGUGUUACUGUUUUGUGCAUAUUCGGUUUCCCUUAUAUAUUAGUCCAGGUUAUAGUAAUGUAAUUGAUGAGUUAUGCAUGCGUGUGCAGUUUCCACUAUAUUCUCCUAGAGAUUAGGCUUGAGCAGGGAGUAGUAACCGUCUUGGACUCUAAACGAAAAGAUCCCCAGGAGUAUGCGAACAUAACUGAAAUCCUCAAGAAGUAAGUUAAAUCGAUCAUUAUUCACCAUAUCAGCAACUUUGUUCAUUUCCUGAUAUCAAGUAAUUGUGUUCUUUGUCCGACAGAGUUUGGACAAAAUUCACUAGAAAAGUUCCGGGACUGCCGAAAGAGCUGGAAUUUAGACACCCGAAAGUAAGUACUAUAGUAGCAUGUUCCGCGCAUCUCCUAGUGAUUCAAGCGCUAGUUUCAUCAAUACCAUUUAGUAUUCUUGCUUAUCAGUUUGAUUAACCUCUAUUUCUUGUAAAGUGGUUGUGGCAGGAAAAAGGGAAUGAUUUCUGUGGAUACUACGUCUGCGAGUCCAUCCGCCACAUGACCUGUGAGCGGGGCGGGUACUCUGAUGAACAAUAUGAAGUACGUAAAUAACAACAUUUACAAUUUUAUUUUAUUACCAUCAUUUGUAUUGAGUUUCAUUCAUUCAUAUAUAUAUAUAUAUGUAUUGACCCCCUUCUUCAAAUUAGAUGUUUCGGAAGCGGGAUGAACUCCUAGCACCAGCUCGCAUGCGAGCAAUUUGAAGAGGAAUUGGCGGCAUUCUUUCUUGACCAAGUGAUCGCUGAAGACGGAGAAUACUAUGUGGACCAUGAGUCCAUAUGAUUAUAUUUGUAAGAGAUAAUUAUUGUAUAUAUGUAGCCGGUAGUGUCGGAUAGAUAUACGAGAACUUGUUGUUCGACCAAUCUCUCGGAGAAGGAGAGGUGGUCGAUAUCACUUCUCUCUGUAUGCAUAUAUGUUCAUGACGAUCUUCUAUUUCCUUCGUUUUCUUACUAGCUAACUAGCGUGUCUAGUUCUCUCUAUACGUAUGUAUAGUACGUAGCGUCGACCAAGCACGGACGUAAGAGAGGACACUUCUCUCUAUUAAUUAUAGCUAGCUAAUACAAUAUAUGAAACACCUAAAUUAACCCCCCAAAACCCCCAACCCCCCCCCCCUUUAAAAAAAACAAAACCCCCAGCCACAGAAAUGCUGACGCGUGGAUGCCUAUUGGUCCCGGUUGGUGCCACCAACCGGGACCAAAGGGUCUCCUGCCUGGGCUCUGCGCACUGCCCACGUGGAGGCCCAUUAGUCCCGGUUCUGGAUUGAACCGGGACUAAAGGUACAGAGCAUUAGUACCGACACUUUAGUCCCGGUUCAGGAACCGGGACUAAAGGCCCUUACGACCGGGACUAUAGGCCCUUUUUCUACCAGUGCAAUCCAGAAGAUCAACAGCGGCGGCCUUGCUGUCACUACGCCACACGCACACUUGUGCCUCCUCACGAACGGCGGCGUUUGGAUUGCCUACCCCGUCAGGGGCAGCGCUUGGAGCUUCUGGUCCGUCAAGAGCAUAGUUUUAAAUAGCCGGCUAUAGCCCCGCUAUAGCUCCGUUAUAGCUGUUUGAGGGUGUUGCCGUUAAAUGAUUUCACGUACAAUUUGCCGCUAUAGCCCAGCUAUAGCUGUUUUUAAGGGUCGCCGCUAAAUGCCAUAGCCCGCUAUUUAAAACGUAGGUCAAGAGCGGCAGCGCGGUGUUUCCCAGUGUGACGCGCGAGUGCGGCAGCAGCGUGGCCUCCCAGCCUCGUUCCGCUGAUGGAUCUACCGCCAUGGAGCAGAGUGCUCGCCUCCUUCUUCCGCCAGAUCCUUGGUCGAGGUGGGGGGUGGGGGAGGACGAGGGGCGGGAGACGCUGACGAGGCUGCACUUCCGCGUGGUCGGGGCGCCGGGUGGGUGAGUCAGGGAGAAAGGGAGAGAGAGGCGCGAGUGAGGCGUUCCGCGUGGUCCGGCCGAUUCGGAGGAACGCCCAGGUUCGGCAUAAACAGGGAAUAUGCCGUUCUCUGGAAUCAGUGGAUUCUGGUUCCUUCGCCAAUCUAAACACAGGAACAGGCCCUCGGGAUGGAACCAACCCAUGACAUUCCGCUUCGUGAUAGAAACCAAACACACCCCUAGUGUCUCUUUUGGUCAAAAAAACACCGUAAAAUUUCAUCGUGUUUGGACCUCGUUCGUGAAACGAAGAAAUAGACAAAAAAAAACAGAAACUGACACUGGGCACUAAGUUAAUAGGUUUGUCCACAAAAAUGAUAUGAAAUGGCAUAUAAAGCAUACAAGAUUUGUAAUAUACUAGAAAAAAUGCCCGUGCGUUGCAACGGGAGAAAAAGUACGCAUGCCCCUAUCUCAAUAAGCAUGGUCUCAAGAUCUCCAUAGGUCCACGUCCUUUUGUUCAACAUGACGCCCAUCUAUGUCACCGCCUAUCCUCCUUCCCACCGUCAUAUUAUUGCUAUUUACUCUGGGAAAAAUCAUGUUAUUUAUCUUAAUCCACUAUACAUUUUUUUAUUUUGUAUUAAUCAAACUGCAUUUGUUAAUUAUUUAAUUUAACCGAUCAUGCAUUAAGUUUUAAUGUUUGUUACCCUGCAAAAAAAGUUUUAUCGUUUGUGACUGGCCAUGCACUAAUUGUGUUUGUACUUAUAAAAUAAAAUGGUAUUUUACCCCAUUAAUAUUUGCGGACUGAAACAAAGUAAAGUGAAGCAAUUGCCACACGAUGGAGUUUCCAAACUUGCACUAACUUUUCUUCUCAAGCUAUAGUCAUGCUCAAACAUAGGGCAUAUGAAAGUGUACGGAUUGUGGAUCUAGAAAAAUUGUGCGUAUUCACAUUAUACCUCAUUAUUUUUUAUGAAAAUAAUCACGUUAUUUAUUUUCAUCCACUGUACAUUUUUUGAUUUGUUUAUUAAUGAAACUGCAUGUGUUAAUUAUUUAUUUUAACAGCCAUGCAUUAAGUUUUAAUGUUUGUGAGCGACCAAUUUUUUACACUUCCGUAACCAAUUAAUAACUUGAUGACAAAAAGAAUCGACCGAAAAGAUGCAUCCUCUUUGACAUGUACUCCUAACUCCAGUCGGCUAAAAAAGAGUUCACGUCUCUUUUCUUUUCCCCACUUUAAACUUGAUAGAAACAAUAUGAUAGAAAAGAUCCAAUUCGCUGCCUACUUUUGUUUCUGUUCCCACGACUUCGUUCCUCUUAAUUACCCAUUUAAUUGCCCAUCAUAUUUCUCAAGCAUGCAUUAGGAAUCCCGUUCCUUAAUUAUCCCACAAUAGUGUUGAUUUCUUUUUGCCCCAUUCGAUUUCCCCAUAAUAUUUCUACGAAUCCUCUGAUCACCAAUUUCCGAGCUGGCUUAUUAAGAUGAUUGAUGAUAGGUAAUUUGAACACGUAUACAAAUUGAUGGCUGUGCUUUUAAAAAAGCGAGGUGGUACUAUUUGCUAAUAAAACCAACCGCUACCAGCUAACGUAGUAGGCCUACUUUAGUUGGUUGUUGUCGAGCGCUACAAGAUGGAAUGUUGUGAGUUCUAUACCUCACGCCCGUGUUUUUUUUUUUUGAGACAAUCUCGCGAAAUUUUUAUUAAACCGUCACAAUGUUUACAGGGACGAACGGAAGAUCUCCGGGAUGGCCUAACCAAACAUGACGGCCAACCCCUAGAGAAAGUGCAUGUUUCCCUAAAUUGUGAGCCUCAUAAUUUGAGCUCCUAAAUUCAUGGCUAAACUUACAAAAAUCAAAAGACGACGAGUGAUCUAUUACUUCAUGUAUGAUUGCUCCAUACCGAGAUGCAUUUUCCUUCGUAAUGUCCUCAACCACCACUUUGCAGUCGGACGCCACAUGGAUCCUCCGCAAGUAUAAAUCAUCUGAUAGAGCAAGGGCUUCCCGAAUGGCCAAUGCUUCCAAUGUCUCCGGUUCUGAAACAUGUCUGAACACUAGGGUUGAGGCUCCCAGGAAUGAUCCAUCAGCGCUCCUGCUUAUCGCACCCACUGCUCCGUAUCUUCUGCUAUGGGGUACUGCAGCAUCCACAUUUACUUUUGCACUGUCCGCUACCGGCGGUUGCCAGACGGUAGAUCUUGCGGCCUUCGCUACCGCCGGCUUCGACGACACUGUAUUCAACACUUGAAGCUCGGCCAAGUAUCGUGUGAUGAAACCGUGUAUUGAUAAUGGUGACUGAUAGAUAGCCUCGUGGAUUGCUUUCCUUCUCGCUCCUCAAAUUGCCCAAAGCGUGACCACAAGCCGAACAAAAUCUUCCUUACCCAGUAUAUCAUGUAGCACAAAUAGCCAGUCCUUCGGGCUCUCCUCUUGGCGAUCCACAAGAUGUUGCACCAGAUGUUCAGGGGCCAACGCCCAAACACUGCUGGACAUCGGACAUGUAAGUAACGCAUGCUUCCAUGUGUCUCUUGCCCCGCAGAGGUUGCAUGUAUCUUCUGUCAACAUAUGGCGAUGCAUCAACAACUCACCGCAGGGCAUAGAUUGUCUAGCUAACCUCCAAACGAACAUUCUGAGCUUUUUUUAGAACCAUGGCUACAACCUACACCAUGGGGGGGACAUAUUCGUUCCUCACUACAUCCCUCAUGUCAUUUGGUACAUCAGCAAGGAACAUAAAAUCUCCUGAGACACGUGCGUUCAAGGCUAGCUCAUGCGCGAGCCUGUUCCUUUCCCUUCUAACUGCGUUGAUCUCUACACUUGCGUAGCUCAAGAGGAGGGCCUUAGUUUCCGCAAUCCAUGCAUGCCAUGAGGAUCUGCAUUUCUCCUCCGCCUUCAGAUCCCGAACGACUCCGGUAUUGUCCAUCUCAAGGAUCAAAUUUCCAAAGUAAUACUUUGCAAAUUCAGAUAAUCCCAAUGCCGCCGCUGCAGCCUCUGCCUCUUCUGCCGAACUGCAAUUGGGAAGUCGCCGACCUACAGAAAGAAACACAUGGCCCUUGUUGUCUCUCGCAACCGCUCCGCCCCACGCUUCUCCUGUUUCCUCCAGGAAAGCCGCAUCUGUGUUUAACUUUGCCCAGCCUGCUGGGGGUGCAGUCCAAUGGCUAGGUCCAGUUAUAGUCACUAUGCUCGGUUUGGUCGGGAAUAGAGACUGUUUAUUCUUCUCACCUUCGUGCAUCGGUUCGCGUGCAGCCAAUCGGAUCUCGUCAUGGAGUCUGAGCAGGUAUUGGACGGCAACUGACACCGUUUGUUUCCCAUCACCAUGGAUCACAUUGUUUCUUAGGUUCCAGGACUGCCACAUGAUUAGCAUCAACUUAGUUCUGAUCUCCUUAUGCUGUCCCAGUAGCAUCAGUUGUAGCCAAUCCCCACCAGAGUAUGUAAGUACAGAUUCCCUAGGGAUGUCCCAGUAUGUCCUCAUGGAUUGGCGGAGGGCAACACUCCUCGUACAUGCGAUAACAGCAUGGUACUCAUCUUCCGUACCUGUACCGCAAAUUUCACAUACAUUGUCAUCGGCUAGAGUCCUUCUGUAAGCAUUGUGUUUGGUAGCGAGUGAAUUUGUGGCUACUCUCCAUCCGAAUACCUUUAUCUUCUUCGGUAUAUCUGCCUUCCAAAUUGCAUCCCAUAUGCUCCGGUCACCCGGAUCUCUUGAGGAACUUGUUGCUAUCUCUGUUCUAUUUCUCGUGAGAGAAUCAGCGAGCUUGUAGGCGCUUCUAACUGUGAAGGCACCUGACUUCUCGUAGUGCCAGGCAUAGCAAUCCUCCAUUUCGAUCCGUGGGAUUUUAAUUUUGCAUAUCUCAUCUGCAUCAAAGGGAUGGAAGAUCUGCCUCACUAGUCCAACAUUCCACUCUUUGUUUUGUGUAUCAAUCAGUUGGUUUACCCACCUCAGUCUAGACCUCCUUAUAAAAGAGGCCACCUUCAAUCCCUCUUUCCUUGGGAUCCAUUGGUCUCUUAUAAUCUGAAUGUUUUUGCCAUUACCCACUCGCCAGAUGCUGCUCCAAUUCUUGCUUUCAUGCUGAACAUAUGACGAUCCUUCCGUUUCAUGCAGCCACGCCUCUCGAUUGAUUUUUUUCCUCAAGAUCAUACGGUAUGCCGAGCCAACACUGAAAAUACCACGUGGUUCCUCGUGCCAUGCCCAAAAGUCUGAAACUGUGCGCGUACAAAGUGGUAUCUUUAGGAUUUCCUCAGAGUCGAACGGAGUGAAGAUAGACCGAACUAGUCCUUCAUUCCAAGACGGAGUAGAUGCACUGAUGAGUUGCGCCACUCUAGUAGGAGGAUGUUGCACCAGAGAUGUUAUAGGUCUUUUGAAACUCUCCCUCGGUAUCCAGUUGUGUUCCCAAAUGUCUGUGGUUUCCCCGUCUCCAAUCCUCCUGAUCAUGCCUUGUGCCAAAAUGUCCCGGCCAUCCACAAUGGCCCUCCAAAUCUGCGAUGGAUGAGACCCCAGCUCUGCAUCUGGCAAUGAGCAGUUUGGAAAGUAAAUUGAUUUUAGGAUCCUGGAGCUUAAUGAGGAUUCCGAAGUCAUUGUGCGCCAAGCCUGCCGUGCGAGAAGUGCCAGGUUAAAUAUUUCCAUGUCUCUGAACCCUAGGCCACCCAUAUGUUUCGGUCUAGUCAUAACAUCCCAUGACACCCAACUGGGCUUCCUUCUGCCCUGCUUACUCCCCCACCAGAAUUGCCUUAUGAUCGAUGUGAUGUUCUCGCAAAGCCGGCUGCCAUGGAAUAAACAGGUAUCGCUUGUGCCACAGACUUGAUCAGAACUUCUUUGCCCGCCGAGGACAGCAGCUUCUCCAUCCAACCUUUGAUCUUUUCCCAUACUCUAUCUCUCAGGUAUUUAAACGUUCCAUUCUUUGAAUGACCCACAUCAGUUGGCAUUCCCAGAUACCGAUCAGACAAGGACUCGUUUUGGACCUGUAAAGAAUCCUUCACCUUUGUUCUGGUGGGGCCCGGACACCCCUUGCUGAAAAAUAUGGAUGAUAUAUCACGGUUUAUCCUUUGCCUCGAAGCGUCACAAUAUUUCUCUAGCAGGUUUUACACUGCAACUGCUCCCUCCACACUCGCCUUGAAAAGCAACAGGCUGUCAUCUGCAAAUAGAAGGUGGUUAAUGGUUGGAGCCAUGGGGUCCACCUUGAUACCUGCUAGUGAUGACUGAGAACUGGAUUUCAGGAGGCACGAAAGGCCCUCUGCUGCAAUCAAGAAUAAGUAGGGGGAGAUUGGGUCUCCCUGCCGGAUUCCUCUGGUUGGUUUGAAAGGGUCAAGUUUCUCACCAUUGAAAAGAACUGAAAAAGAGACAGAUGAAACCAUAGCCAUGACUGUGUUUAUCCACUGUUCUGCGAAACCAAGUUUAGUCAUGAUAGCUCUCAAGUAUGUCCAUUCUAGCCUAUCAUAGGCCUUCAUCAUAUCCAACUUCAGUGCACAAAAACUGUUUGACUUCGCCCUAGACCGCUUCAUAAAAUGCAAACAUUCAUAUGCACAAAUGAUGUUAUCCGUAAUUUGCCUCCCUGGCACAAAUGCAGACUGCUCUUCCGAAAUAAUAUCAGGUAAUAUAAUCUUCAACCUAUUAGCGACCACCUUGGAUGCUAUUUUGUACAGUACAUUGCAAAGACUAAUAGGUCGAAACUGAGACAAAGCAGUGGGAUUCGUUACCUUCGGUAUAAGAACCAAAACCGUGUUAUCGUUACUUCCAUACUACUUUGCUACUAAAUAUUUUGCUGCAGAUAUUUAGUCUUUCAGGUUGGUCGAAUUGACAACUCAGCUGCUAAUACUUGAGAAUAUUCUUUGGCUCCCCUUGUGUCGAAUCAAUAAAUUUGGGUUGAAUACUCUACCCUCGAAAACGGUUGCGAUCCCCUAUACUUGUGGCUUAUCAACAUAAUGUAGAAGGAUAAACUCAAGCAAUAUGAUGAAAACCCCAUCUAUUUACCCUUGAUGGCAACAAUACAAAUACGUACCUCGCUACCCCUACUUUGUCACUGGUGAGGACACCACAAGAUUGAACCCAAAACUAAGUGAUACGUCCAUUUUGUAUCAUGCUUUUAUAUCGAUAUUUAUUGCAUUAUGGGUUGUUAUUACACAUUAUGUCACAAUACUUAUCCUAUUCUCUCUUAUUUUACAAGGUUUGCACGAAGAGGGAGAAUGCCGGCAGCUGGAAUUCUGGGCAGGAAAAGGAGCAAAUAUUAGAGACAUAUUUUGCACAACUCCAAAAGUACUGAAACUCCACGGAAGUCAGUUUUGGGAUAUAUAAAAAAUAUUGGGCGAAGAAAGCACCGGAGGGGGGCCACCCACCAUCCACGAGGGUGGGGGCGCGCCCUACCCCCUGGGCGCGCCCCCUGUAUCGUGGGCCCCCUGGCAGGCUUCCGGUGCCCAUAUUUGGCUAUAUGAAGUCUUUCACCCUGGAAAAAAUCAUAAGCAAGCUCUUGGGACGAAACACCCCUGCCACAAGGUGGAACCUUGGCGGAACCAAUCUAGGGCUCCGACAGAGCUUUUCUGUCGGAGAAACAUCCCUCCGGGAGGGGGAAAUCAUCGCCAUCGUCAUCACCAUCGAUCCUCUCAUCGGGAGGGGGUCAAUAUCCAUCAACAUCUUCACUAGCACCAUCCCAUCUCAAACCCUAGUUCAUCUCUUGUAUCCAAUCUUUGUCCCAAAACCUCAGAUUGGUACUUGUGGGUUGCUAGUAGUGUUGAUUACUCCUUGUAGUUGAUGCUAGUUGGUUUAUUUGGUGGAAGAUCAUAUGUUCAGAUCCUUUAUGCAUAUUAAUACCCCUCUGAUUAUGAACAUGAAUAUGAUUUGUGAGUAGUUACGUUUGUUCCUGAGGACAUGGGAGAAGUCUUGCUAUAAGUAGUCAUGUGAAUUUGGUAUUCGUUUGAUAUUUUGAUGAGAUGUAUGUUGUCUUCCCUCUAGUGGUGUCAUGUGAACGUCGACUACAUGACACUUCACCAUUGUUUGGGCCUCGGGGAAGGCAUUGGGAAGUAAUAAGUACAUGAUGGGUUGCUAGAGUGAUAGAAGCUUAAACCCUAGUUUAUGCGUUGCUUCGUAAGGGGCUAAUUUGGAUCCAUAUGUUUCAUGCUAUGGUUAGGUUUACCUUAAUACUUCUUUUGUAGUUGCAGAUGCUUGCAAGAGGGGUUAAUCAUAAGUGAGAUGUUUGUCCAAGGAAGGGCAGUACCCAAGCACCAAUCCACCCACAUAUCAAAUUAUCAAAGUAACGAACGUGAAUCAUAUGAGCGUGACGAAAACUAGCUUGACGAUAAUUCCCAUGUGUCCUCGGGAGCGCUUUCCUUUAUAUAAGAGUUUGUCCAGGCUUGUCCUUUGCUACAAAAAGGAUUGGGCCAUCUUUCUGCACCUUAUUUACUUUUAUUACUUGUCACCCGUUACAAAUUACCUUAUCACAAAACUAUGUGUUACGGAUAAUUUCAGUGCUUGUAGAGAAUACCUUACCGAAAACCGCUUGUCAUUUCCUCCUGCUCCUCGUUGGGUUCGACACUCUUACUUAUUGAAAGGACUAUGAUAGAUCCCCUAUACUUGUGGGUCAUCAAGACUCUUUUCUGGCACCGUUGCCGGUGAGUGAAGCGCCUUUGGUAAGUGAAAUUUGGUAAGGAAAGAUUUAUAUAGUGUGCUGAAAUUUACUGUCACUCGUUACUAUGGAAAGUAAUCCUUUGAGGGGCUUGUUUGGGGUAUCUUCACCCCGACCAGUAGAGCAAAGAGUUGCUCCUCAACCUACUGAGCCUACUGAAAAUGUUUACUUUGAAAUUCCUUUGGGUAUGAUAGAGAAACUGCUAUCUAAUCCUUUUACAGGAUAUGGAACAUUGCAUCCCGAUUUGCACCUACUCUAUGUGGAUGAAGUUUGUGGAUUAUUUAAGCUUGCAGGUAUGCCCGAGGAUGUUUUCAAGAAGAAGGUAUUCCCUUUAUAUUUGAAGGGAAAGGCAUUGGCAUGGUUUAGGCUAUGUGAUGAUAUUGGAUCAUGGAACUACAACCGAUUGAAAUUGGAAUUUCAUCAUAAGUUCUAUCCUAUGCAUCUGGUUCAUCGUGAUCGUAAUUAUAUAUAUAUAGUUUUUGGCCUCGCGAAGGAGAGAGCAUCGCUCAAGCUUGGGGGAGGCUUAAGUCAAUGUUAUAUUCAUGCCCCAAUCAUGAGCUCUCAAGAGAAAUUAUUAUUCAAAAAUUUUAUGCUCGACUUUCUCUCAAUAAUCGCUCCAUACUCGAUGAUACGUCUCCAACGUAUCUAUAAUUUUUUAUUGCUCCAUGCUACUUUAUCUACUGUUUUGGACUAUAUUGGGCUUUAUUUUCCACUUUUAUAUUAUUUUUGAGACUAACCUAUUAACCGGAGGCCCAGCCCAGAAUUGUUGUUUUUUGCCUAUUUCAGUAUUUCGAGAAAACAGAAUAUCAAACGGAGUCCAAACGGAAUGAAACCUUCGGGAACGUGAUAUUCUCACCGAACGUGAUCCAGGAGACUUGGACCCUACUCCAAGAAGUUUCCGGGGAGGUCACGAGGGUGGAGGGCGCCCCCCCUGGGGCGCGCCCCCUGCCUCGUGGGCCCCUCGGAGCUCCACCGACGUGCUCCUUCCUCCUAUAUAUACCUACGUACCCCUAUUAGACCAAAGCCGGAGCCAAAAACCUAAUUCCACCACUGCAACUUCCUGUAUCCACAAGAUCCCAUCUUGGGGCCUGUUCCGGAGCUCCGCCGGAGAGGGCAUCCAUCACGGAGGGCUUCUACAUCAACACCAUAGCCCUUCCGAUGAAGUGUGAGUAGUUUACUUCAGACCUUCGGGUCCAUAGCUAGUAGCUAGAUGGCUUCUUCUCUCUUUUUGGAUCUCAAUACAAUGUUCUCCCCCUCUCUCGUGGAGAUCUAUUCGAUGUAAUCUUCUUUUUGCGGUGUGUUUGUUGAGACCGAUGAAUUGUGGGUUUAUGAUCCAACUUAUCUAUGAAUAAUAUUUGAAUCUUCUCUGAAUUCUUUUAUGUAUGAUUGAGUUAUCUUUGCAAGUCUCUUCAAAUUAUCCGUUUGGUUUGGCCAACUAGAUUGGUAGUUCUUGCAAUGGGAGAAGUGCUUAGCUUUGGGUUCAAUCCUGCGGUGUCCUUACUCAGUGACAGAAAGAGUUGCAAGGCACGUAUUGUAUUGUUGCCAUCAAGGAUAAAAAGAUGGGGUAUUUAUCAUAUUGCAUGAAUUUAUUCCUCUACAUCAUGUCAUCUUGCUUAAGGCGUUACUCUGUUUUUAACUUAAUACUCUAGAUGCAUGCUGGAUAGCGGUCGAUGAGUGGAGUAAUAGUAGUAGAUGCAGGCAGGAGUCGGUCUACUUGUCACGGACGUGAUGCCUAUAUACAUGAUCAUACCUAGAUAACCUCGUAACUAUGCUCAGUUCUAUCAAUUGCUCAACAGUAAUUUGUUCACCCACCAUAGAAUAUCUAUGCUCUUGAGAGAAGCCACUGGUGAAACCUAUGGCCCCCGGGUCUAUUCUCAUCAUAUCAAUCUCCAUUACUUUAUUUUACUUGUUUUGCUUUUACUUUUCACUUUGCAUCUUUAUACCAAAAAUACCAAAAAUAUUAUCUCUAUCAGAUCUCACUCUCGUAAGUGACCGUGAAGGAAUUGACAACCCCUAAGCGUUGGUUGCGAGUUGCUACCGUUUUGUGCAGGUAAGAGGGACUUGCGUGUGACCUCCUACUGGAUUGAUACCUUGGUUCUCAAAAACUGAGGGAAAUACUUACGCUACUGUGUUGCAUCACCCCCUCCUCUUCGGGGAAAACCAACGCUAGCUCGAGACAUAGCACUCGAUACUUCUUGUACUGGUUCUUUUAUCAUGAAGACUAUUGAAUUCAAAUGGGAUUUAUUGGAAAGAAUUAAACGCAACUCUAAAGAUUGGGAACUCGGCGAAGGUGAGGAGUUAGGUAUAACACCUAAGUUUGAUUGUGUUAAAUCUUUUAUGGAUACCGAUGCUUUUCGUGAAUUUAGCACUAAAUAUGGACUUGACUCUGAGACAGUAGCUUCUUUCUGUGAAUCAUUUGCUACUCAUGUUGAUCUCACCAAGGAGAAGUGGCUUAAAUAUCAUCCUCCCAUUGAAGUAAAAGUAGUUGAACCUAUUAAAGUUGAAGAAAAGACUAUCACUUAUAAUGUUGACCCUAUUAUUCCUACCGCUUAUAUUGAUAAACCACCUUUCCCUGUUAGAAUAAAGGAUCAUGCUAAAGCUUCAACUAUGGUCAACAAAAGUAAUAUUAGAACACCCAAACCCUCUGAGCAAAUUAAAGUUGAACCUAGUAUUGCUAUGGUUAAAGAUUUCUUGGUCGAUAAUAUUGAUGGGCAUGUUAUUUACUUCUAUGAUGAAGUUGCUAGAAUUGCUAGACCCGAUACUAAAAAUAAACAUAGACAUGUUGUUGGCAUGCCUGUUAUAUUUGUUAAAAUAGGAAAUCAUUGCUAUCAUGGUUUAGGUGAUAUGGGUGCUAGUGCCAGUGCAAUACCUUAUUAUUUAUACGAAUAAAUUAUACACGAUAUUGCACCUGCUGAGUUAGAAGAUAUUGAUAUUACUAUUAAGCUUGCCAAUAGAGAUACUAUCUCACCUGUUGGGAUUGUUAGAGAUGUUGAAGUCCUGUAUGGCAAAAUUAAAUAUCCUACUGAUUUUCUUGUUCUUGCUUCCCCACAAGAUAACUUUUGUCCCAUUAUAUUUGGUAGACCCUUCUUCAAUACUGUUAAUGCUAAGAUAGACUGCAAAAAGGAUAUUGUUUCUGUUGGUUUAGGGGAUAUGUCUCAUGAUUUCAAUUUUGCUAAAUUUCGUAGACAGCCCCAUGAUAAAGAAUUGCCUAGUAAAGAUGAAAUUAUUGGUCUUGCUUCUAUUGUCGUGCCUCCUAAUGAUCCUUUAGAACAAUAUUUGCUAGACCAUGAAAAUGAUAUGUUUAUGAAUGAAAGAAAGGAAAUAGAUGAAAUAUUCUUUAAAUAGGGACCUAUUUUGAAACACAACUUGCCUGUCGAAAUUCUAGGGGAUCCUCCUCCACCCAAGGGUCUAUUCUCUAUGCUCUUGAGAGAAGCCACUAGUGAAACCUAUGGCCCCCGGGUCUAUUCUCAUCAUAUCAAUCUCCAUUACUUUAUUUUACUAGUUUUGCUUUUACUUUUCACUUUGCAUCUUUAUACCAAAAAUACCAAAAAUAUUAUCUCUAUCAGAUCUCACUCUCGUAAGUGACCGUGAAGGGAUUGACAACCCCUAAGUGUUGGUUGCGAGUUGCUACCGUUUUGUGCAGGUACGAGGGACUUGCGCGUGACCUCCUACUGGAUUGAUACCUUGGUUCUCAAAAACUAAGGGAAAUACUUACGCUACCGUGCUGCAUCACCCCCUCCUCUUCGGGGAAAACCAACGUUAGCUCGAGACGUAGCAAGAAGGAUUUCUGGCGCCGUUGCCGAGGAGGCCUACGCCAAGUCAAGUCAAGAUUUACUCUCCCGUCAACGAGCCAUUUCUGGCGCCGUUGCCGGGGAAGCCUACGCAAAAGUCAACAUACCAAGUACCCAUCACAAUCUCUAUCUCUCGCAUUACAUUAUUUGCCAUUUGCCUCUCGUUUUCCUCUCCCCCACUUCACCCUUGCCGUUUUAUUCGCCCUCUCUUUCCCAAUCUCCUCCUCUUUUUCCCUUUGCAUUUUGUUUGCUCGUGUGUUAGUUUGCUUGCUUGUUCGUCACUAUGGCCUUACCUAAUUUUGGUGAUCUUCACCUUAAAAGGCUAGAAGAUAUCGAAAACGAUGUCAGGAAGUUUAUGGUCUUGCAAUUUGAGCAUACUAAUUUCUUUAGAAACGAGCUUAAGGAACAAAAGAGUUUUAUGAGUUAUAUGAAUAAAGAGCUCGAUGAUAUGUCCAAAGAAUUUGAUGGUGUAAGAGCCCAAAUUGCUCAUCUUGAAAAAAUGACCGCUGAAAUUUCGGAUAUGCAAGCCACCUUAGUCAAUAAGAUGGCCGCUAAACCGAAUAACUAUGAGAAUCAAGAUGAAGAUCUAAAAGUUAUUGAUGUGUCCCCUAUUAAAUCGUUGUUUUGCAAUAUGAAUCUUGAUGAAUCUAAUUAUGAUCUUCCCUUACCUAGAAGGCGUUCUAAGAAUUCUGAGUUUUUAGAUCCUGAUGAUGAAAUUGAUAAAAAAGGGAUUGAAAGAAAUAAAAAUCUAGAUAUUGCUAAACCCACUAUUUUGGAUCUCAAGGAAUUUAACUAUGAAAAUUGCUCUUUAAUUGAUUGUAUUUCAUUGUUGCAAUCCGUGUUCAAUUCUCCUCAUGCUUAUAGUCGAAAUAAGGCCUUUACCGAACACAUUGUUGACGCCUUAAUGCAAUCUUAUGAAGAAAAGCUUGAGUUGAAAGUUUCUAUCCCUAGAAAACUCCAUGAUGAGUGGGAACCUACAAUUAAGAUUAAAAUUAAAAAUUAUGAGUUUCAUGCUUUGUGUGAUUUGGGUGCUAGUGUCUCUACUAUCCCCAAAGCUUUGUGUGAUUUGCUAGAUUUCCGUGACUUUGAUGAUUGCUCUCUAAACUUGCAUCUUGCGGAUUCCACUAUUAAAAAGCCUAUGGGAAGAAUUAAUGAUGUUCUUAUUGUUGCAAAUAGGAAUUAUGUGCCCGUAGAUUUUAUCGUUCUUGAUAUAGAUUGCAAUCCUUCAUGUCCUAUUAUUCUUGGUAGACAUUUCCAUAGAACGAUUGGUGCAAUUAUUGAUAUGAAGGAAGGGAUAUUAAAUUCCAAUUUCCCUUAAAGAAGAGCAUGGAACACUUCCCUAGAAAGAAAAUAAAAUUACCAUAUGAAUCUAUCAUGACAGCCACUUAUGGAUUGCCUACCAAAGAUGGCAAUACCUAGAUCUAUCCUUGCUUUUAUGCCUAGCUAGGGGCGUUAAAUGAUAGCGCAUGUUGGGAGGCAACCCAAUUUUAUUUUGUGUUUUUUGUUUUUGGUUUUUUUAGGAAUAAAUAAUCCAUCUAUAUUCUGUUUAGAUGUGGUUUUAUCUUUUAAUUAGUGUUUGUGCCAAGUUAAACCUAUUAGAUCUUCUUGGAAGAUAGUUAUUUGAUCUUGCUGUAAUUUCCAGAAUCUUUGCGCUCAGUGCCUGAAUUGUCAAAAAUCACCAGAAUGUGAUAGAAUAGUGAUUCCAAUUGAUGCUGAUCAAUAAAAAAAUUUCCCAGGUCUUCUAAUUUUGGUAGAAUUUUUUGGGUUCCAUGAUGGAGCUGUACAGGUCAGGGUGGACGUCGACCAGUUUGCUCUCCCUAAUGAUGCUUGCCACCUCCUUGACGACGUCAAUCAUCCUGCUAGAGACGCUCAGCUCAUUCUCCAUCAAGCCGCCCCUCUUCAUCUUCCUAUCAAGCACAAGAACGUGAUCCCCACCCUUAUCAGUACCAUUAAGGAUGAUUGUCUUUGACUCCUGAGUGUCUAGAUAGUCAUGCGUAGGCAAGCCGAGCGGCUCACCGGAGCCAAUGGCAUGCUUGCACGUUGCCACCCGAAAGGAGAAGAUCGUCGUGAUAAUCCCCAAGUGCAAGGAAUCAUCGUAGCACUUUCCAGUGAAGGUGUUAAGUAUGGAGUGUCGAAACCACAAGGAGAUACAAGUAGGAUUGAUAUUUCCCUCACGUCGAUGCCACUAUUACAUAUCUAGAAACAAGAAAUAAAUCUACGCCACAAGUAUAAGGAGAUAGCUUUGUAAGAUAAUAAAGAACGUAUAAAUAAAGGUUAGGUGUUAUCUAAGUAAAAUUACAAUAAAAUACAAAUAGCGAAUGUGGAAAACCGGUGGUAGGAUGUGCCGAAUUGUCCCAAGGCAAAUAGCUAAGUUACUAAACCGAUUAUCAUCAUUGCGGUUUUAUAUGUGGGAGAGGCCUCUGCUAACAUACUAUCCGUAUUUGGAAUUAUAUGUAUGUAUGAUUAGAACUAUUAUGAAGCAUUCGCCAAUACUAACAUGUUCAUUAAGGUAAACCUAACCAUAUCAUGAAGAUAUAUUGGUCCCCCUUCAAUCCUGUAUGCAUCAAUUUCUACACUUAGCCUCGAUGUAAAUAUAACAUGAAUACUUCAAAAUAUUAUAAAUAUUUUGAAGAUGUAUCAUGUUGCAUUUGCGCAUAGUUCUGGAUGGGUGUGUUGAGGAACUCUGCGACCUUGGGGUAAGAAGGAAACACAUCAUGGUUAGUUGUGUCUGGCAUGGUAGACGGGCUUAAACUAGUGGUACGUGCGCUAACCGUGAUGUGGCCUUGGUAGUGCUUUGUCUCCGAAGGAUCAAGGAAGUGUCCUAAUCCCGUGAUGCAUGCUAAGGUAUCUGAGCUUGGACACUGUCAUCUAUCUUGCUCUACACUUCCUGAGGUGGUGGUAGACUAGGGUCGAGGUGACCACUUGGCCACAUAACUGAACACCUACUUGACAACAGAGUUCAAGUGCACCUCCUUGAAGCCCUUGUCAGCCCUCACCUCACUGGUUAUGAUAUCACACAUCUUGUUAAGCAUGAAUGCAGAUAGGAACGGCUACCAUUUCAUGGAGUUACCCUUCAAGGCUCCUUUGAUUCAAGGAAUUCUAUAGGAUUUUUGGAGGAUUGAAAUCCUUUGAAUUUUUUCCUACGUUUGUCCUUUGAUUCAUAGGAUUGAAUCCCAUAUGAAUUUUUCCAAUGAAAUAUUUUGUACUACAUUUCAUAGGAAAUCUAACAUCCACUCUAACCUCCUUUUACAAUUCCUUUGCUUUUUCUGUGAAAUCAAGCGCUCCUUGCUAAUCCUAUAGGAUUCAAGUGGGCAUGACACUCCAAUCCUAUACUUUUUCUGUUCCCGCGUUUUCAAAAUCCUGCGAAUCAAAGAGGUCCUCAAUCCUUUUUGCCUUGGUGACUACCUUUUGUGCACCGGCAUUAGGCACAACCAACACAAAUGGUGGAGCUAUUACAGAUUCCUCAAAGAGAUCUGAAUCUGAAGGCAUUUGCUCCUUGAUGAUAGGCCAGGAGUACUCAACGUAGGACGCCGGGAACUGACUCUCGGGCAGGACAAUGGGUUGACUAAGCUCUUGCGUGGUCAUGUCCUAUAAGCGUUAGCGUCAAUAGGUGUGGAUCACACUACCCAGAGACAGUACGGAUGAGCACUAAGCAUGGAAAAAAUAAACGAGCACUACACAUGGACAACAUGAACGAGCACUACAUGUAGACAAUAUGAGUGAGGACUACAAAUAGACAGUAAGCAUAGUACACAUGGAUCAUCUAGUUCAACACACCACCAUAUGACUGUUCUUCAAUCUCAAAGCAUACCAUGGAGCCAACACACUUCCACACAUCUACAUACUUGCGGACACUACACAUGAACUUGCAUGCUACCAAUCCAUCACCACUAGCUAUCAAUCCUUGAUGACAUGGAAACAACACCUAGCAUCCUAUAAAAUCCAUCACCACUAACUAUCACAACAUCACAUUCUCACAGAUCGACAUUGUAGAAUGCUACAACAUGGUCACAGAUCUAAUCCUAUCACAUGCUCACAGAUCAAGCUAAAACGAGCAGACAUGAAUCGAUGGCGUCGUGUAUCGCCGGCCGGAGAAGAAGCGCCUCUUACCUGCUCAUCGGUGUCUAUCCGUGCAGACUGAUGUGUGGACUAAUGUAUGCAGGCAACCAAACACACCUCCAAGUGUGUGGACUGAUGUAUUUGCUUUGGUCAUUUUUACUCCGCGUAUUAGAGUUGUGUCAAGUUAAAUCUUAUAAAGUUUGAUCAAAUUUAUAUUAAAAAAACAUCAACAUCUACAACACCAAAUAUAUAUACUACUCCCUCCAUUCUGAAAUAUAGUGCCCCCGCGCUUCCCGAUGUCCAACUUUGACCACAAAUUCAACCAACGAGACCGACUGCGGUGGGCGGGAGAAAAAAUCAUAUAGUUAAAAACUUCUUUUGAAUACGAAUUCACUGGUAUAAUUUUUGCUCCCGCCGCAGUCGGUCUCGUUGGUUAAAUUUAUGGUCAAAGUUGAAGCACGGAAAUAGAGGAAGCACUAUAUUUUGGAACGGAGAAUGUAUCAAACCACAUUUCAUAAUGAAUUUAGCAAUAUUGACAAUAUUUGGUAUUGUUAAUAUCGAUACUUUUUUUCUCUACGUUUGAUCAAAAAUAAAAAUACUUUGACUUUACACAAAGAAAAUUAUAUGCAGACACGCGCCUCAAAUAUCUAAAUUUGCUUGAACGUAAAAAAACAAACUGAAUUUGCUCGCUCAUGGUCACGAGAGAGCGGAGAGCCGAGGCUGUGCCGUUCCGCUGCUCUGAUUGGCCCGCGGCCCCCUCCCACGGAUCACGCCCCCCAGGCGAACAUCCACCGUCCACGCCGCCUCCAUCCAACGGCCCGCGCCCCGCAUCACGCGGAUCGCCCCCCGACCCCCGCGGGUAUAUAAUCCCAGCCGCAGGGCCUCCAUUUUCAAACCACCUCAGCAGCACAGCUCAGCUUCCACCCACUCUCAGCCCCUCCCGCCGGAGCCCAAGCAAGGAAGCAAGAUGGACGGCAGCAAGGCGAAGAAGGUGGCGGCGAAGAAGUUCGGCGGGCCGAGGAAGAAGUCGGUGACCAAGUCCAUCAAGGCCGGGCUCCAGUUCCCCGUCGGCCGCAUCGGGCGCUACCUCAAGAAGGGCCGCUACGCCCAGCGCGUCGGCUCCGGCGCCCCCGUCUACCUCGCCGCCGUCCUCGAGUACCUCGCAGCCGAGGUACGCACACCACGCCACCGUUAUACUCCUCGUCGACGCCCUACUCCUGCCUCUCUCCCCGGUCUGAACCAAGCCGCCGAUCUUGUUUUGCAGGUGCUGGAGCUGGCCGGGAACGCCGCCAAGGACAACAAGAAGACCCGCAUCGUGCCGAGGCACCUGCUGCUGGCCAUCCGCAACGACCAGGAGCUCGGGAGGCUGCUGUCCGGCGUCACCAUCGCCCACGGCGGCGUGAUCCCCAACAUCAACCCGGUGCUGC